rnacentral:rRNA from 1 species
UACGUAGGUGACAAGCGUUGUCCGGAUUUACUGGGCGUAAAGAGCGCGCAGGCGGUCGGUCAAGUCGAGUGUGAAAGCCCCCGGCUCAACUGGGGAGGGUCAUUCGAUACUGAUCGACUCGAAGGCAGGAGAGGGUAGUGGAAUUCCCGGUGUAGUGGUGAAAUGCGUAGAUAUCGGGAGGAACACCAGUGGCGAAGGCGACUACCUGGCCUGUUCUUGACGCUGAGGCGCGAAAGCUAGGGGAGCAAACGGG